rnacentral:rRNA from 1 species
UACAGAGGUCUCAAGCGUUGUUCGGAUUCAUUGGGCGUAAAGGGUGUGUAGGUGGCGCCGUAAGUCGGGUGUGAAAUUUCGGAGCUUAACUCCGAAACUGCAUUCGAUACUGGCGUGCUUCGAGGACUGGAGAGGAGACUGGAAUUCAUGGUGUAGCAGUGAAAUGCGUAGAGAUCAUGAGGAAGACCAGUGGCGAAGGCGGGUCUCUGGACAGUUCCUGACACUGAGGCACGAAGGCCAGGGGAGCAAACGGG